GGAGUUAGCCGGUGCUUCUUCUGCGAGUAACGUCACAGAUGUAAGGUAUUAACUUACACCCUUUCCUCCUCGCUGAAAGUGCUUUACAACCCGAAGGCCUUCUUCACACACGCGGCAUGGCUGCAUCAGGGUUUCCCCCAUUGUGCAAUAUUCCCCACUGCUGCCUCCCGUAGGAGUCUGGGCCGUGUCUCAGUCCCAGUGUGGCUGAUCAUCCUCUCAGACCAGCUAGGGAUCGUCGCCUAGGUGAGCCUUUACCUCACCUACUAGCUAAUCCCACCUGGGCUUAUCCAUCAGCGCAAGGCCCGAAGGUCCCCUGCUUUCCCCCGUAGGGCGUAUGCGGUAUUAGCAGUCGUUUCCAACUGUUAUCCCCCACAAAUGGGCAAAUUCACAGGCAUUAACUCACCCGUCCGCCGCUCGUCAUCUUCAAAAGCAAGCUUUUGAAAUGUUACCGCUCGACUUGCAUGUGUUAGCUCGCCGCCACGCGUUCAAUCUGAGCCGAGGAUACAAACUACUCGA
rnacentral:rRNA from 1 species